GGCCUCCCAAUACUUACCACAGGCUGUGUUCUUUACACUGACUGUAUAGAAAGUGGAGGUACGGUAAAUGUUCCCCAUAUGCACCUCAAACCAGGCCAAUUCCUGGCCUGUAUUGUGAAUGGGGGGUGG